UAAAUAAUGAAACAUGUUCAAUUUGGUUUAAAUAAUGCAAAAACAAAGUGUUGGAGAUGAAAGUACAAGUGCAAUAUGUGCCAUGUAAGAAAGCUAAGGUUUAAGUGCUUUGCUCAGAACAUGAGAACAUAUGAAAGCUGGUGGUUCCUUUUAACAUGAGUCUUCAAUAAAGUUAGCUGUCUUUUCGGCUGCGAUCUGAAUAGGUCUGUCGGACACUUUUCUUGGGCCACUAUAACUAACUAUUUUGCCAACUUGGACAGGUCCCCCCUUCCACACGGAACCCCACUAACCCACAGACGGAAACGCACGAGGCGGCUAAAAACAGACCUCCCUCCCAUCUUCCACCAGCUUGCUACCUAUGGCCCGGCUAGCUGUCUGAUUCUCACUGGACCCUCUGAUCACUCGGCUAAGCAUGCCUCUCCUUAAUGUCAAUAUGCCUUGUCCAUUGCUGUUCUGGUUAGUGUUUAUUGGCUUAUUUCACUGUAGAGCCUCUAGCCCUGCUCAUUAUACCUUAUCCAACCUCUCAGUUCCUCCACCCACACAUGCUAUGACAUCUUCUGGUUUCAAUGAUAUUUCUAGAGACAAUAUCUCUCUCAUAAUCACUAAAUGCCUAGGUUUACUUCCUCUGUACUCACAUCCCACCAUACCUUUGUCUGUACAUUAUACCUUGAAGCUAUUUUAUCGCCCCCAGAUACCUGCUCCUUUUUCUCUCUAUUCUGGACGUCACAGACGACCAAUUCUUAUAGCUUUUAGCCGUACCCUCAUACUUAUCCUUCUCUGCUCCGCUGGGGAUGUAGAGGUGAAUCCAGGCCCUUCAGUGCCUGGCUCCACACCUACUCCCCAGGCGCUCUCUUUUGAUGACUUCUGUAACCGUAAUAGCCUUGGUUUCAUGCAUGUUAACAUUAGAAGCCUCCUCCCUAAGUUUGUUUUAUUCACUGCUUUAGCACACUCUGCCAACCCGGAUGUCCUAGCUGUGUCUGAAUCUUGGCUUAGGAAGUCCACCAAAAACUGUGAAAUCUUCAUCCCUAACUACAACGUUUUCAGACAAGAUAGAACGACCAAAGGGGGCGGUGUUGCAAUCUACUGCAGAGAUAGCUUGCAGAGUUCUGUCCUGCUAUCCAGGUCUGUACCCAAACAAUUUGAACUUCUACUUUUAAAAAUCCACCUCUCCAAAAACAAGUCUCUCACCGUUGCCGCCUGCUAUAGACCCCCCUCGGCCCCUAGCUGUGCUCUGGACACCAUAUGUGAACUGAUUGCCCCCCAUCUAUCUUCAGAGCUCGUGCUACUAGGCGACCUAAACUGGGACAUGCUUAACACCCCAGCCAUUCUACAAUCCAAGCUUGAUGCCCUCAAUCUCACACAAAUUAUUAAUGAACCCACCAGGUACAACCCCAAAGCCGCAAACACUGGCACCCUCAUAGAUAUCAUCCUAACCAAUGUGCCCUCUAAUUACACCUCUGCUGUUUUCAACCAAGAUCUCAGCGAUCACUGCCUCAUUGCCUGCACCCGUAAUGGGUCAGCGGUCAAACGACCUCCACUCAUCACUGUCAAACGCUCCCUGAAACAUUUCAACGAGCAAGCCUUUCUAAUCGACCUGGCCCUGGUAUCCUGGAAGGAUAUUGACCUCAUCCCGUCAGUAGAGGAUGCCUGGUUAUUUUUUAAAAAUGCCUUCC
ensembl:lncRNA